rnacentral:misc_RNA from 1 species
GUAGGUGAACCUGCGGAAGGAUCAUUACCGAGUUCAUGCCCUCGCGGGUAGAUCUCCCACCCUUUGUAUACCAUACCUCUGUUGCUUUGGCGGGCCGCCUAGCUACCGGCUUCGGCUGGUAAGUGCCCGCCAGAGGACCCCGAACCCUGAAUUAUUAGUGUCGUCUGAGUAAAAUUUUAAUAUUUAAAACUUUCAACAACGGAUCUCUUGGCUCUGGCAUCGAUGAAGAACGCAGCAUCUGACUGACUGA